GUUCCUCUCUCUCACCUCUUUAUCUAAUUCACUUGUACACGCGAUGCUCUCCAACCACUCAGAAGAAGAUCUGAACAAAAAUGGCGAAAAUAGGAGGAACUCAGCUAUAUCCACACUCUCUCCUCCUAUAGUUCGCUUGUCUUUGCUAUCUCAAUUCGUAAGAAACGUCGUCGAUUGCACAGGUUGUGCAAUUGUGUGAAAUUGGCAGAAGAUUUGUGGGUUGAGGCAGCAAUGGGUGGAUUCCUUAUUUUUGACGAUCGUAAAUUUGUUGAUAUUGCCAAUAACGUAAGUAUGAAGGGUUGAUGGUCGUAAAAUUUGCUGAUAUUGGCAAUAACGUAAGUAUGAGGGAGGUAUUUAUGGCAUUUUGGAUUGGACUGACAUAACCAAUGCUCGCAUUAUAUCAGGACCUGGGAUUGUGGAUGGACUGAAGUUCAAGAAAUCGUAUUCUGGGUUUCGAUCAUAUUGGGAUGGAUGACUGUUGAUGCAACUGCUGACGAUAAAAAAGUUGGGUUUUUUUCUCUCUCUUUCUUUUAUAAACUAAUAAAAUUUGAAAUUAUAGAUUAAAAUCAUAUAACAGCUUAUUUAAUUAAAAACAUGAUGUAAAAUCUGUAAUAAUUAAUUAAAAUCAACAGAAGCAUGCAUAAUUGUACGGGGAGCAUACCUUGUGUCGUUGGUAAUUGUAUAUAUGCGUGAUGAACUUAAAACCGAACGUAAAACCUGCAAAAACCAUUAUUUAUUUCAGAUUUUCAUGAUUUUAAUGAAAUUAUAAUAUCUCAAAUUAAAUUAAGCACUCUGAAAAUUGGUAAAUUGAUUAUAU